rnacentral:rRNA from 1 species
AACGAACGCUGGCGGCGGGCUUAACACAUGCAAGUCGAGCGCCCCGCAAGGGGAGCGGCAGACGGGUGAGUAACGCGUGGGAAUCUACCCAUCUCUACGGAAUAACGCAUGGAAACGUGUGCUAAUACCGUAUACGUCCUUCGGGAGAAAGAUUUAUCGGAGAUGGAUGAGCCCGCGUUGGAUUAGCUAGUUGGUGGGGUAAAGGCCUACCAAGGCGACGAUCCAUAGCUGGUCUGAGAGGAUGAUCAGCCACACUGGGACUGAGACACGGCCCAGACUCCGACGGGAGGCAGCAGUGGGGAAUAUUGGACAAUGGGCGCAAGCCUGAUCCAGCCACGCCGCGUGAGUGAUGAAGGCCCUAGGGUUGUAAAGCUCUUUCACCGGUGAAGAUAAUGACGGUAACCGGAGAAGAAGCCCCGGCUAACUUCGUGCCAGCCGCCGCCGUAAUAC